rnacentral:rRNA from 1 species
UCCUGACGGUAGUCGUAUGCUCGUCUCCGAGACUAAGCCAUGCAAGUCCAAGUACACGUCCUUGAACGACGGAAACUGCGAACGGCUCAUUAAAUCAGUUGCGAUCUACUCGGCGUUCCGCGCCGCCGGAUAACCGUAGUAAUUCUAGGGCUAAUACGUGCGAAGCGCCCGAAGCCGCGAGGCGACGGGCGUUCUCGCCGGAUGUAGGAACCGACCCGGGGACCGCCCGGGGGCAACCCCGGGCGCCCCCCGAGACGGGGCGAACCACGGUGAAAUGACGGAUCGUCGGCCCCGCGCCGGCGACUCGCCGAAUGAGUUUCUGACCUAUCAACUCGAGACGGCGGGGUAGAGGCCCGCCGCGGUAACGACGGGUAACGGGAAUCAGGGUUCGAUUCCGGAGAGGGAGCCCGAGAAACGGCUACCACUUCCAAGGAAGGCAGCAGGCGCGCAACUUACCCUAAUCUCGAUUC